CAGUCGCCACGGUAAUACAGAGGAUGCAAGCGUUAUCCGGAAUGAUUGGGCGUAAAGCGUCUGUAGGUGGCUUUUCAAGUCCGCCGUCAAAUCCCAGGGCUCAACCCUGGACAGGCGGUGGAAACUACCAAGCUGGAGUACGGUAGGGGCAGAGGGAAUUUCCGGUGGAGCGGUGAAAUGCGUAGAGAUGUGGAGGAACACCAGUGGCGAAGGCGACUCUCUGGUCUGUAACUGACGCUGAGGAGCGAAAGCGUGGGGAGCGAACAGGAUUAGAUACCCGAGUAGUCCCUGUCUCUUAUAC
rnacentral:rRNA from 1 species